rnacentral:rRNA from 1 species
UACGAAUGGGGCAAGCGUUGUUCGGAAUCACUGGGCUUAAAGCGUGCGUAGGCGGAUCUGCAAGUCAGGAGUGAAAUCCCCGGGCUCAACCCGGGAACUGCUUUUGAAACUGCAAAUCUAGAGACCUGGAGAGGUUAGCGGAAUUCCGAGUGUAGAGGUGAAAUUCGCAGAUAUUCGGAGGAACACCAGUGGCGAAGGCGGCUAACUGGACAGGUACUGACGCUGAGGCACGAAAGCGUGGGGAUCAAACAGG